UGGGCAAGAGUGCCCUGGGUGCCAGCCAGAUGCAGAGAGGAGUUGAACCAUGCACCCUGGUCAUAGGACAGAUCUUCAGAAGGAAUGGAAUUUAAAUGGAGCUCUGCUUUUCAGCAGUCAGUGCAAGAAAUCAGGGACUUGCAUAAACUUGCCAAGCCGCAAAGCAAAUCCCCUUCCACUGAAGAGGUGCUGGGCUUGUCGUAGGAUGUGACCCACUGGAUGCUGGCAGGCGGUUCUUCUGAGAGACUGAGAGAUGCUGGAAAACUCAGCAUCUCAGUGAAUGACUGGAAGAACAAGGGAGUAAAAGAACAUGAAGGGAGAGCCAUAAUGCAAGCCAUUCCUAGUGGAAAAGUUGAGAAGGAAGAACAGCUUAUUCCAGACCAGUGAAAUUGAAAUUCCCAUGUGGAACAACAUAAGAGGAAAGAGGCCUUCCCUUACAAAGUUGGACAGCCCUCUCGCAUGGCAAUUUGGCAGUAAGUAUCAACAUGUUCAGUGUGUAUAACCUUUGCCCAAGCAAUACCACUUCUGGGAAUCUACAGAAAUUCUACCAGAAGACCACAAAGAUACAUAAGCCCUGAGCACUGAAGCACUGUCUGAUGUGAAAACCUGAAAAUAUCCUUUGUGUUUCCCAUAAGCAAACAUUGAUGCAUUUAUGCCGUGAAAAGGGCUGUUAGAGCAAGGCCGAUCUGAGGGAUGAAUAUUGACGUAUAUCAUUAUGAUGACACGUGAGAAAAGUAAGUCACAGAAUAGGAUUAGCUUACUGCUUAUAUUUAACUGAUAUGAAAUUGGCAAGCAAAGACAAUUAUGCACUCCACACAAGAGUGAGUGAUGUAAAUAACAUUUGGAAUUCUGCACACCCUUCCACCAUCCUUGGUCCCAGAGGGAGACGCGGUCAUCAUCAGUCUCCCAGGAUUCCCAGCAUUGAGAGCUGCUCUGGUGUCUGAGUGUGGCUUCCAGCAUUAAGAAAAAUAGGUAUCCUUGGGCCGGGUGCGGUGGCUCACACCUGUAAUCUCAGCUCUUUGGGAGGCCAAGGUGGGUGGAUUGCUUGAGGUCAGGGGUUCGAGACCAGCCUGGCCAACAUGGUGAAACCCCGUCUCUACUAAAAAUACAAAAAUUAGCCAGGCACGCUGGCUCACGCCUGUAAUCUCAGCACUUUGGGAGACUGAGGCGGCCAGAUCAUGAGGUCAGGAGAUCGAACCAUCCUGGCUAACACGGUGAAACCCUGUCUCUACUUAAAAUACAAAAAAACUAGCCAGGCAUGGUGGCAGGCGCCUGUAGUCCCAGCUACUCGGGAGGCUGAGGCAGGAGAAUAGUGUGAACCCGGGAGGCGGAGCUUGCAGUGAGCUGAGAUCGCACCACUGCACUCCAGCCGGGGUGACAGAGCAGGACUCCAUCUCAAAAACACACACACACACACACACACACACACACACACACACACACACACACACAAAUUAGCUGGGUGUGGUAGUGGGCACCUGUAAUCCCAGCUACUUGGGAGGCUGAGGCAGAAGAAUUGCUUGAACCCGGGAGACAGAGGUUGCAGUGAGCUGAGAUCAUGCCACUGCACUCUAGCCUGGGAGACAGAGCGAGACUCUGUCUCAGAAAAAAAAAAGAAAAGAAAGAAAAAUAGGUAUCCGCACACCACAUGGCCCCUGAAUGCAAGACAACUCCUUAUCCUGGUGCUCAAGCAGCCUCUUCCAGCUGUGCUGAGACAGAAUGUCAGUCUCUCGAGCCAGGCGCGGUGGCUUGCACCUGUAAUCCCAGCACUUUGGGAGGCUGAGGCGGGUGGACCAAGAGGUCAGGAGUUCGAGACCAGCCUGGCCAAUAUGGUGAAACCCCGUCUCUACUAAAAAUACAAAAAUUAGCAGGGCACAGUGGCAUGCACCUGUAGUCCCAGCUACUCUGGAGGCUGAGGCUGAAGAAUCCCCUGAACCCAGGAGGCGGAGUUUGCAGUGAGCUGAGAUCAUGCCACUGCACUCCAGGCUGGGCGACACAGCGAGACUCCAUCUCAAAAAAAAAAAAGGCAGUCUUCCGUGGAGAACCUUCCAAGGGCCGACUCUUCCCUCUUCUCCUCCACCCCUUCCCUUCCCUUUCCUGAAUUGUUCAGUCCUGAAGCUAUUAGGUGGGACAGAGCAAGGUAGAUGCCUGUAGCAUGGGAAAGGGAGGGCAGAUGACUCACAGAGAGCAUCAAAGCCCAGAGAGAAUGAGGAGGGUGUCCAGAGUAUGUGCGCUGGCACCUGACGUGGCAUGUCGGAGCCCAGGCUGAGGAAAGUGACCCCGCAGGGGUCUGGCCAGCAUGUGGUUCCUUUUGCCCAUUCCCAUUUCUCCUUCAGUGCACUGCUCUUCCUGGAGUAAGGAACGAAUCCGGAGAAGCAGAAGGCAAUGAGCCGGCUUUUAGAGCAGCCAAGGCUUGGUCCAUGGCAGAGCCAUUCAGCACAACAUGCUCUAUGACCACACCGCUGGGCUCGAGCCCAGCCAAGCAGCCUCCACGCAGGGGGACUGGACAAUCAGCCGCUUCUCUGCCCGUUUCCUCAUCCUUAAAGAGGAAACGUCAAGCCCUUGGCACAGCAUCCAGCCCACAGUCAGUGUUCAGUGGACAUGAGCUGCCUUCAGGGCAGCUCUGUCUUCAGGCCUCACAGGGUAGCUUUGAACAGGCAGAGCCAGAGGAGCUGGGGAUGUCCCCUCUGUUGCUGUCUCCACGGUGGGAAAUGGGCAGCUUGAAAACCUGAUAGGAGCAACUUGGCUCUAUCUAUCAGAAUGUGAAACAUGCCAGCCCCUCAGCCCAGCUGUCACGCCCCUUGGACCCUGCUCUGCACCGACACCAGAACGAAGGCACAGGCACAUUCACAAGGUGUUCACGGAGGCACCGAUGGUGAUAGGAAAACGCCGGAAGUUAGCGAUGUGAUCACCAACAGGGGACUGGGUAAACAGACCCCACUCAAAAGACCGAGGCCCAGCAUGAACCAUGCCACAUAAGAAUAGUGAAGAAAGUAAAUGGCAGAAUUCUAUUUGUGGGAUGAUGUCAUUUGUAUGAAAACAUAAAGUAACUAAACAGAUAACAGUGUGCAUUCCAUCCAGAAAUCGGUAUACAAAAAAUACAGCCACAUGUAUGUCUGAGUGUAUGUACAAAAUGAACAUCUUUAUGCAGGGGAAAAGUCUGGGAGGACAGACAGAAAGGCAUGUCUGCAGAGUGGGGUGAGGAGGAACAGGAAUGUUUACACUUCAAGAGUGCUGUACCGUUUGAAUUGCUAGUAAAGAAUGCAGGUCAAUUUUAUAGUCAAAAAACUAACAUCAGGAUGCUUAGGAGAUACAGACUGAAACACUGAAGAAUAAGGCACCAAUGACUCAGCAAUAAUAAAUACAUAAGACGUGAAUAUUUUAUCCAUGUUAUAGAGAAAGGGACAGAGAGAAACGGGAAAAUUUGUUUGUUUGUUUUGUGUGUGACAGAGUCUU
rnacentral:lncRNA from 10 species